rnacentral:rRNA from 1 species
UACGAAGGGGGCUAGCGUUGUUCGGAAUUACUGGGCGUAAAGCGCACGUAGGCGGACUACUAAGUCAGGGGUGAAAUCCCGGGGCUCAACCCCGGAACUGCCUUUGAUACUGAGAGUCUCGAGUCCGGAAGAGGUGAGUGGAAUUCCGAGUGUAGAGGUGAAAUUCGUAGAUAUUCGGAGGAACACCAGUGGCGAAGGCGGCUCACUGGUCCGGUACUGACGCUGAGGUGCGAAAAGCGUGGGGAGCAAACAGG